CAAUGAAAGGCUGAAAAGGACUUUGAGAUGACUGGUUAGAAGCAAAUAAAGAAUACAUAUGGAACACAACUGAUCAACAUAUUGAAGUUCCUGGAAUCAUACAGAAUGCAGAAGAGAAAGUAUAUAGUGAAAAGCCCUUGAAUAACUUAAAAUUUUGUUCAUACAACUAAACACUCUAAAAUGUUAUGCAGUAUCAAGAAAAGAAAGUAUCAUGACCAACUUUCGUCUGGAAUUGAAAGAAGGGAACUGGGUAGAAACCAGACUGCUCAGUGUCUAUUUCUGUAUCCACUUCACUCUUAGUCACUGGCUGUUUGAACUAUGUUUAUAAGGAAGGAUGAAUCCAC